AAUGGGAACAUGUUAAACAAAUAGUAUGGUUUGAGCUUGUUUAUCUUGGAGAAGGCUCCACCCUCCCUAACUAAGGCCAAUGGGGAGCUGAAGAUAAACAGACUGAAAGAAGGUAUUUUCUGAAGCUUAAUAGAAACUUACAACAGGAUUAACAAUGAAUUGAAAAGGGGGCAGCUACAAAACAGGUCAAUGUCUGAAGGUCAAGCAAAAGGAACAAAGUGAAACAAAUACCAGUAAAAUGAGAGGAAAAAUCUUCUCCUCUUGUUUGGCAAAGCUUGGACUAGAAAUGGCCCCUCUGGCAAAGAUUUCUUGGGGCCUAAAGUCAACUAGUGAUGCCCACAGUCUAUGAACAAAGUAUAUUCUGUUCAUAGGCCCAUAGUCAGUGCCUAGCCAGUCCAGCUAGGUACUUGGUUAUUUGAAGUUUCACAGCCUUUUUGUAUUUAUCAUUUGGAUCCUGACAGCCUUAGAGGAGCUGUUUCCUUCCAGCAGAGAAUUGUUGCAGACAACACGGACCUCUGGUUGAAGGAGAUGAUGG
ensembl:lncRNA